AGACCAAUCGCGGGCCGCCAGGACACGUGAGGCCCGCGCUACAGUGAUGAACUUUAGGAGAAAGGGGUUCAGCCAAGAGAGCUUUAGGAGAGAGAGGUUCAUGGGAUUGAAUUAUUUUAUUAUUAUUUUUUCUUGAUUUUUGUGUGAACUCCCCCCAUAAAUCUUCAAUGGGGGUGCUCUUAGGGUAUCCACAGUUGGAGUCUUUUACAAAAAUAUAACAUUUAAUUAAUUAAAUCUUUCAAAAAAAAUUGAAAAAAAUAGCAUGAGUUUUUCAAUAUUUUGAUAGACUCUCCAUUAUAAAUGUAUAAUAUUUAAUAUAUGUAAGAAACUUUUCUUGAAAAAUCCUUGAUGGGAUGGCUGUAGAAAGAUAUUGCUGUGGGGCCUUCUUGACUCAGCGAUGCGUGAGUAAUAGCGCGCCAAUCAUUCAGUUCUAACUUCUAUCCAAUCAUUUAGCUGGCCGGAGGCCCGAAGCCUUGUAGGAGAAGAUGAUGUUGGGUCGAUUUAGAAAAAAAAACAUAAAAUAAGAAAAAUUCGUUGGCAGUGAAGAUAAGAAGUCGAGAGUGAUCUUGAAAAACAUGCAGUGUCGGGCAUGACAUAUUAAUCAAGUGGCCCACCAUACCCUGUUACCACUCGCCUCUUUCACCAACAAUGAAGAACACAAAAGGCUGCAUGCACGGCCCCUAGUAGAAUUAUUUUGGAUUGAUAUAUAUGUAGUUUUUUUUUUUUUUGCUAAAUUGAUAUAUGUAUAUGUAGUUUUCUGAGUGUUUUAGUUUACUCGCAAGUCCCUCGGCAUUUUCUCCUUUAGUGAGACUUCCUUGUAUGAUUUGAUUUUUUCGUGUAGCCGCCUGCCUUUAAUGGUCUUCCAAUACAUGUGUUUUUUUUCUCAUCUCCUCUGCUUCAUCACCUCUUGAUUUGUUCUCUGAUUUUUUUUUAAGCUCCAUUGAAACUAAAGAUGAUACCUCUCACUAUUUCCCUCAACAUAAACUGAUAUUUUGACAAACAAAUGUUUUCAUACAUACUAGUUGCAUGUCUUUCAAAGUUCGUGAUCAAUAAAGAUUUGCAUUUCCGCCUCCAGAUCUUUCUUUGACUUGCAACUUGCAUGAGGUUUUCUUGCUUCUUUUUGCUUAACAAAUACAAAGACAAAAAAAAAAGCAAAUAACCAAAAUGAAGCAUGAGCAUGAGUCAAACAAGACAUUAACCGGGUUGAAGAAUCGUCUCCUACUGUUAUCGCGGUUUAAGGAAUCUCACCGAUUUGGUUCGGUUAAUCCUUAACCGAUUCAAUUGCUUUAGCCAAUUUCUAUAACAUUACGUGUUACAUCCACGUUGAUUCUUACAAAAUUCAAUUACAUGAAUAUUUUUAGUGAAUUAAAAUUCCAUUCAAUUGCCAUUGCUAAGUUUUUUUUAUAACUUCUUCAUUCGAUUAGUUAAUAGAGUUUUCGUAUUAUAUAACAAAUUAGAAAUGAAAUUUGGUACAUAAAAAUGAAAAACAGAGUGUUGUUGAGAAGGGUAUUGUUUGUCUCGCCAAAGCAUCAACAACUCUAUUACAAUCUCUUUGAAUCCACAUAAAUUUAGUAUCGUCAAACUGUUGUCUCCACCAAAAUUAUUUUAUUUCCUUUUUAUUAAUAAAAUUUAAUUCAUCAUUAAUUUUAAUUUUCUUUUUAGAAAACCAUUUCUAUUAAUAAAAUUUAGCUCUUUCUACAAUAAAAUUUAAUUUAUCAUUUUAAUAAAUAAUAAAAAGAAAUAUUAUAUAGAUUUUGUAUAUAUAAAAUAUUUCAUAUAUUUUGUAUGAACAACAGAAAUUAAAAGAAAGAAGAAGAAAAUAGAUAUAAAUAUUCAAAAUACAUCAGUUUAUAAUAUUAUUUGAGAAGUCAGUUUUCUAACGUGUCGCACUCACGUUAAUUCUUACAAAAUUCUAUUACAUGAAUAUCCUUAAUGAAUUAAAAUUACAUUCAAUUGCCAAUACUAAAAAAAAUUUUAUUUUCUUUUUUCAUAAAUAAAAUUAAAUUCAUCAUUGCAAUUUUAAUUUCCUUUUAGAAAACCAUAUAAAUAAUAAAAAGGAAAUACUAUAUAGAUUUUUUUAUAUAUAUAACGAUUUUUACUUUAUAUUUGGGGAAAUUUUACUUAUACACUUUACAUGAUACCACUUUUCACUUAUACCACCACUCAAAGGACAUUUUCAUAAAUAGCACAUUUAUUAAUUGGUAAAAGACUAAACUAACCUUAUCUUUACUUCAAUCUAUCGUCUCUUUCUUCUCCACCAUCGUGAUCCUUCUUCUCUCUCCUUUCGGAUCCACCGUCUCUCUCUCCGUCGGAUCCACCGUCUCUCUCUCCGUCAGAUCUGCCGUCUCUCUUUCCGAGAUCCAUCGUCUCUCUCCCUGUGGAGAUCGUUCUUCUCUCUCCGUUGAGAUCUGUCGUCAUCUCCGACGAGAUCCAUCGUCGUCUCCAUUGAAUUCCAUCGUCACUCUCUCUCACGCAUCUAGCGAUAAGCAAUUACGAGAAUCACGAUUCAAAACCUCAAAGAUCUUGGCUCCUCUCCACGAUUCACACUGGAGAGCUUUGUGUUUGGAGCCAGACAAAAACAAACAGUGCAACCUGGCCAUCUGCUUGAUGCGUAUGGGUCGAAUCCCAGAAGCUAAAUCUCUGAUUGAUGCUGUGAGAGAUUCUUCUGCAGAGAUUGAGUUCGGAGAUGAACUGUUCACGAAGUCUUACGACAGAGCCGGUGAGAUGUUAGCAGAAGUGGAAUCCUAAAGAUCCAGAAGAUGGUCUUUCGGAUAAGUUCUAUGCGGGAUGUUCAUUUGCAAACGGAACAAUGAAGGAAAACAAAGCUCCUCGAAACGCAAACAGGAACCACUCGCAUGUUCCUCCUUCUUCAGCAUCUGUUAGACAAACGUGAGAGAGGCUCUGUUGGUCCUAGGAUGGAUGAAACUGGCCCUUAUCUUCUCACUGAGAAGGUUGAUCAAUUGCAAAGUUCUGAUACAAGGGAAAGGAAGGUAGUCUUGCUGCAGCUUGGGCUCUAGCUAAUCUAUAUUAUCUUGCAUGUUAGAAACCUCUUAUAAGGGUUUAUAAAAUAUUUAUAAGAACUUAUAAAUCAUUUAUAAGGUUUUAUAAAUAUAUUUAUAAAAGUUUAUGAAUCUGUAUAUAAGGGUUUAUAAAAAUAUUAUAAGAGUUUAAUAAUCUUCAUACCACAAUUUAUAAGAGUUAAUAAAUCUUUUUCAAGAGUUUAUAAAUCUUUACAAACAUUUAGUAGUAAAAUAUUCAUAAAGCAAGUGUCUAUAAUUCUAAUAUAAAUGUUUGUAAAUUAUUAUAAUAAAUAAAAGAUUAUUUAUAAUGGUUUAUAAAAUAAUUAAUAAGACUUUAUAAAAUCAGUCUAUAAAGUUUUUAAAUAUAUUAUUAAAGUAUAAUUCAUUUAUAAGAGUUUAUAAAAUCAGUUUAUAAGGCUUUAUAAGGAUUAUAAAUAAUUAAUAAAUAUUUAUGAAUAAUUUAUGAAGAUUUAAAAAUCAUUUAUAAACCUUUAUCAAUAGUUUAUAUAUAUUUCUCAUGUGGUGGAAAACAGCGAGAUGAGGCAGCAGAGGUUCGUGGGGAUAUUGAGUUUGCUGUAUAUCGUUGCGUUCUUAGCUAAGAAUAAGAGCGAGUGUCUCCAAGAAGAAUGGGGAGUGUUGGAGAAGUCUCCGGAGGCGGCUUUAGAUGUGGAUCAGGCGAUCUUCGUGGCUGUUUUGUGGUGAAUUAUAGAAUAUUUAUGGAUGUUGAAUUGUUCUUGAGUGUAGAUUUGCUCAUGAAUCAUGAUUGAAUCUUACCGAGUCUAUAUAUAUAUCCUUUAGUUGAUUGUGGAUGAUGUUAAUCAUGUACCUCUGUUUGCUAAGAAAAUCUGAGAAAUGAUAUAAUUGUUUUAUAAAGAAGAGGCAGAAAAACCAUAUCAAAUUAUAUCAUCAUAAUAAAAUCCUUAUAAGGCUUUAUAAAGAUAAUAAAUAAUUUAUAAAUGUUUAUAAAUCAUUUAUGAAAAUUUAGAAAUCAUUUAUAAACCUUUAUCAAUAGUAUAUAUAUAUUCCUAUAAAUGAUUUAUAAACCUUUAUAAAAUCACUUAUAAGAAUAUACCAAAUAUUUAUAAGGUUUUAUAAAAUCAUUUAUAAAUAUUUAGAAAGGUAAUUUCAUUUAUAAAGUCUUAAAAAUAAUUUAUAUGAAUAUAUAGAAACUUUUUAUACGAAUAUAUAGAAACUUUUUGUAAGGGUCUAUAAAUCAUUUAUAAGAAUUUGUAGAAUAUCAAAAGGUAAUUAUUUUAUGAAGUCUUAUAACAGUUUAUAGAGGCUUAUAAAUCUGUAUAUAAGGGUUUAUAAAAAUAUUAUAAGAGUUUAAUAAUCUACAUCGCAUAAUUUGUAAGAGUUAAUAAAUCUUUUUCAAGAGUUUAUAAAUUUUUUAUAAGAUUUUAUAAAUCUUUACAUUUAGAAGUAAAAUAUUCAUAAAGCUAUUAUAAGUUUAAAAAGUAAAAUCGGUGAUAUAAAUACAUGAAGAUGCUUGUUACUAAUUUUUUUUAAAAAGAAACUAGAGUAAAUGUAAAGUACAAAUGAUUUACAGCUUACAAUCACUUAUAAAAACACGUGUUACACAUAUAUAUUACAGAAAGACAUGUGUCUUGUUUCUCUUAUAUGUGUCAAGAACAUAUAUAUUACAUAUAAAAACACGUGUCUUCUCUCUUUUUCUGCAACUCCAAUCUUCUUGAAAAUUGUGUUUCUCUCUGAAAACAUAAAAACAUACGGCUAAAUAUAUAUAUAUAUAUAUAUAUUGUUUUACGGUUUUUUUUAUAAGGCCUUAUAAAUAUAAAAAUUGUAAUAAAUACCUCAAGCGGGUUACCUUUAUAAAAUCACUUAUAAAUUUUAUAAGAGCUUAUAAAACAUUGUAUCAAUCAUCUAUAAAAUUUUUAUAACAUAUAUAAAUAUUUAUAAAACUAUUUAAAAGGGUUUAUAAAACUAUUUACAAAUACUUAUAAGCUAUUUAUAAGAGCUUUUACAUUUAUUUAUAAGUGUUCAUAAAUUAAUUUACAAGGUUUAUAAAUCUAUUUAUAAGAGUUUAUAAAUCACCAAAUUAACCAACUUUCCACCAUUUCUUUGCUUAUUAAAGAACAUCAUUCUUUUACAGUUUCUUUUAUAAGACCUUAUAAAAAGGUAUAAUUGAGCAUUAAGAUGAUUGAGCAUUGAGAGAUACUUGGGGUUUCUGAAGUUAUAAUGGUUUAUAAAAAUUUAUAAAGGGUUUACAAAACCACAAUGUUAGAUGAACGCCUCAGUUCUGCAGAUGCACAUAAUGUAUCCAGACCAUAUAUAUAGCUUUCUAGGACCUUUCUCACAGCAAUAGCAAAAGCCUGAUUAACAAGAAUAUAGCAGCUCUUGUUAUUGGCUUCUUCAUUUUCACCUACUUUACAGCUCCCCCCUGUCUCUCAACUUCCAACUUGAAGUUCAUGAAAUGAGUCUACGAAAUUAUGGAGAAGAAAGACCAAAGGACCAAAAGAGCCUAUGUUUCAAAGAAUCUGUCCCAAGGCGUCAGUGCUUGAUAACCGAUGCCACAACCUCAGACUUUGGUGGGUUGUCCUAUCAGCUGGCUCAGAGCAUAAUCCAUAAGAGAGCUUCUGUAUGCUAAUAAGAGAAGACUCAACACUUUGCAGGGCAUUCAAUACCAACCUAACCAAGCUUAAUUCCUAUUAAAAAGCAACAAAAUUGUUAGAGAAUGUGGUCAAAAGUAGAAGUAGUCUCAAUAUACGUCUUUUAUCUAAGCACUAAAGAUAUUCCAUUGUUCUGUAAUUAAUUACUAAGAAUAGAAAUCUGAGAACAUCACAUCGUAAUCUUCCCUAAGAUAAUUUUUUUUGUAACUCAAUACAAUACAUCGAGUACUAAACUCAAAU